rnacentral:rRNA from 1 species
UACGGAGGGUGCAAGCGUUAUCCGGAUUUAUUGGGUUUAAAGGGUCCAUAGGCGGGCCCGUAAGUCAGUGGUGAAAUCUCAUAGCUUAACUAUGAAACUGCCAUUGAUACUGCGGGUCUUGAGUAAAUUUGAAGUGGCUGGAAUAAGUAGUGUAGCGGUGAAAUGCAUAGAUAUUACUUAGAACACCAAUUGCGAAGGCAGGUCACUAAGAUUUAACUGACGCUGAUGGACGAAAGCGUGGGUAGCGAACAGG